UACGUAGGGGGCAAGCGUUUGUCCGGAAUUAUUGGGCGUAAAGAGCGUGUAGGCGGCCCAGGUAGGUCGGUUGUGAAAAACUGGAGGCUCAACCUUCAGAGGUCGACCGAAACCAUCUGGCUAGAGUCCGGGAGAGGAGAGUGGAAUUCCUGGUGUAGCGGUGAAAUGCGCAGAUAUCAGGAGGAACACCAAUAGCGAAGGCAGCUCGCUGGGACGGUACUGACGCUGAGACGCGAAAAGCGUGGGGGAGCGAACAGG
rnacentral:rRNA from 1 species